rnacentral:rRNA from 1 species
AGCGACAGGCUUAACACAUGCAAGUCGAGGGGCAGCGGAGGCGAGUGCUUGCACUUGCCGGACGGCGACCGGCGCACGGGUGAGUAACCCGUAUGCGACCUGCCCGUAGCAGGGGGAUAAGCGGAAGAAAUUCCGUCUAAUACCGCGUAAUAUCUUUCGGGGGCAUCCCUGAGGGAUUAAAGGAAGCGAUUCCGGCUACGGAUGGGCAUGCGGCGCAUUAGCUAGUCGGCGGGGUAACGGCCCACCGAGGCGACGAUGCGUAGGGGUUCUGAGAGGAAGGUCCCCCACACUGGUACUGAGACACGGACCAGACUCCUACGGGAGGCAGCAGUGAGGAAUAUUGGUCAAUGGGCGAGAGCCUGAACCAGCCAAGUCGCGUGAGGGAAGACGGUCCUAUGGAUUGUAAACCUCUUUUGUCGGGGAGCAAAAAGGCCUCGUGAGGCCACAAGUGAGAGUACCCGAAGAAAAAGCAUCGGCUAACUCCGUGCCAGCAGCCGCGGUAAUACGGAGGAUGCGAGCGUUAUCCGGAUUUAUUGGGUUUAAAGGGUGCGUAGGCGGACUGGAAAGUCAGCGGUAAAAUCGAGAGGCUCAACCUCUUUCCGCCGUUGAAACUGUCGGUCUUGAGUGGGCGAGAAGUAUGCGGAAUGCGUGGUGUAGCGGUGAAAUGCAUAGAUAUCACGCAGAACUCCGAUUGCGAAGGCAGCAUACCGGCGCCCGACUGACGCUGAGGCACGAAAGCGUGGGUAUCGAACAGGAUUAGAUACCCUGGUAGUCCACGCAGUAAACGAUGAAUACUAAUUGUCCGGUCAGAAUGAUGACUGGGUGAUACAGCGAAAGCGUUAAGUAUUCCACCUGGGGAGUACGCCGGCAACGGUGAAACUCAAAGGAAUUGACGGGGGCCCGCACAAGCGGAGGAACAUGUGGUUUAAUUCGAUGAUACGCGAGGAACCUUACCCGGGCUCAAACGUAGAAUGACAGACGGUGAAAGCCGUUCUCCCUUCGGGGCAGUCUACGAGGUGCUGCAUGGUUGUCGUCAGCUCGUGCCGUGAGGUGUCGGCUUAAGUGCCAUAACGAGCGCAACCCCCAUCUACAGUUGCUAACAGGUAAAGCUGAGGACUCUGUGGAGACUGCCGGCGCAAGCUGUGAGGAAGGCGGGGAUGACGUCAAAUCAGCACGGCCCUUACGUCCGGGGCGACACACGUGUUACAAUGGCAGGUACAGCGGGAAGCCAUAUGGCGACAUAGAGCGGAACCCGAAAACCUGUCUCAGUUCGGAUUGGAGUCUGCAACUCGACUCCAUGAAGCUGGAUUCGCUAGUAAUCGCGCAUCAGCCACGGCGCGGUGAAUACGUUCCCGGGCCUUGUACACACCGCCCGUCAAGCCAUGGAAGCCGGGGGUACCUGAAGUGCGUGACCGCAAGGAGCGUCCUAGGGUAAAACCGGUGACUGGGGCU